AGCGAACGCUGGCGGCAGGCCUAACACAUGCAAGUCGAGCGGGCACUCCGGUGUCAGCGGCAGACGGGUGUGUAACACGUGGGAACGUACCCUUCGGUUCGGAAUAACGCUGGGACACUAGCGCUAAUACCGGAUACGCCCUUUUGGGGAAAGGUUUAAUGCCCUAGGAUCGGCCCGCGUCGGAUUAGCUUGUUGGGGGGGUAAUGGCCUAUCACGGCGUCGAUCAGUAGCUGGGUUGAGAGGAAGGUCAGCGACGCUGGGACUAGGAUACGGCCCAGACUCCUACGCGAGGGAGGAGAGCGGGAUAUUGGACAAUGGGGGCAGGCCUGAAGGAGCCAGGCCGGGUGAGCGAUGAAGGCAGUAAAGUAGUAAAGCUCUUUUGUCCGGGACGAUAAUGACGGUACCGAAAGAAUAAGCCCCGGCUAACUUCGUG
rnacentral:rRNA from 1 species